rnacentral:rRNA from 1 species
GAUGAACGCUAGCGGCAGGCUUAACACAUGCAAGUCGAGCGCCAGGUUUCGGCCUGGAGCGGCGAACGGGUGAGUAACACGUAGGUCACGUACCCUAUGGUGGGGAAUACCCCGGGGAAACUCGGAUCAAUGCCCCAUAUGUCCGAAAGGAUGAAAGCGCUUCGGCGCGCCAGAGGAUCGGCCUGCGGCCCAUUAUUUAAUCCUAGUUGGUGAGGUAACGGCUCACCAAGGGUACGAUGGGUAGCUGGUCUGAGAGGACGAUCAGCCACACUGGAACUGAGACACGGUCCAGACUCCUACGGGAGGCAGCAGUGGGGAAUAUUGGACAAUGGGCGAAAGCCUGAUCCAGCCAUGCCGCGUGAGUGAUGAAGGCCUUCGGGUUGUAAAGCUCUGUCGUGGGGGAAGAAGUUCUGACGGUACCCCACAAGAAAGCACCGGCUAACUCCGUGCCAGCCGCCGCGGUAA